rnacentral:lncRNA from 1 species
GUUCUAAUUAAAAUUAUUAAGUAAAUAAUCAGGUAUCAAGGAUUCGACAAUGUUCUCUGAAGGAUAAAGUAACCUUUUUAUUCUCUUAUGUGUGAGAAGAAGAGCAGUAACAUCCGCUAUUGUAAACAGCCAAAUAAAACCUGAUGACUUCAAGAUGAAAAUUGCAGACCGUGAAUUUUAAUAAAGAAAAAAAAGAAGUGUAAUGAACAAGCUAAUUACUUAAUCAGUCGAGGUAAAAGGAGAUGGACAAGGGGGAAAUUUAACUUCAAGAAUUCCUUCAAGCAUUUGGCAGGCCUUUCUCAUGGUUGGCCUCAGAGAUGAAUCUUCUUGAAUGCACCAAAUGCCAACCAUCACGAACCUUUCUAGUCUUUUCUUGUCAUUUAAGGCUUCUGUAUCAUCUACAACCAAAUUAUCCAACCUUCCUUCCUGAAAGCAGUCCCAAACCCAAUCUUCAAGAAUUGGAUUUUCUCCUUCUCCAAAUUCCAAAUCUACCAGGCUUCUUCUGCAUGUAAUGAUCUCUAGUAGUAAAAUGCCNAUGAA